UGCCACUCCUUGUUUUUUCCUACUAGAUCUAGUAUUUUUAUCUUCGACCUUGUAGUCUUGUAGUUUUUUCCUAAAAAUCCAACAAAUCUUGUAGUUUUCAUUCAAAGGAAAAAAAUGCGAUAAUGUUUCAUGUUUUUUACUUACUAAUUACGUCUACCUAAGUAUACCCUUAUAUGAAUCUCAUACUCCUCGUUUUUUCUAAUGAAGAACAGUGAGACGCGUCUCGUUCGCGUUCAGUAGUCAGUACGGGAGUCCAUCGUAGCAAGUACCGGGCGAGAGCUGAACUGGGUUCUUAUUCCAACUUCCCUCAGUUUGGUGAAGAUCGUGGUCUUAAACAGGCAUAGUGAUAAGUGACAACAAUGAGCGCAUCACAGAGCAAGGGACUUGGAUGGAUACAGGCUACUCCUGUUGACUAAGCAGUAAUGUGUCCUCCAGCCAGGCACAGCUCUGGGCCUUGAAGUGUGACCCUGAGCUCAUCCAAAAUGAGCGGAGCAACGUGUGUUUCUUCAGGGACAGCAGAGGGGCACUUGGAGCACUGACGAGUGGGCAGCCAGCACAUGCACACGGUGUGAGCGAGUGCACAAAACUUAUUACAAGGAUCGGAGAGGAGAGAAACUUGACAUUGAUUUGGGUACCAUCCCAUGUUGGUGUGUUAGGUCAUGAAAAAGCUGACCACUUAGCACAAAAUGGAACAGAAAGAGAUCAAACUGUAGAACAAGCUUGUCACAAAUAGAUAAGAAAAUGACAAAUAUACAUGUUGAGCAAGAACAAGGUGCAAUUCUACAUAAAGGCGAAGUGAGCUAGUGAAACAAUGAAACACUACACCAAAGCACAAAGUGGCGCCAAUUUCACAUCUGGAAAAUAUGGAGUCAGCUGGAAAGACAGCGUGUGUGCCGGACUGAGCUUUGGAUACAAACAUUACUGGGAACUGGGCGUGUCAUGUGAGGCUCCGGCCAGGAGGAGUGUCGCCCAUGCUGUGAGCCUGACGCCCACUCCGUGCUGCAGUGCCCCGAGCUGGCAUGUGCCACAAAUAAUGCCAUCCACACCACAUAUGGAUGUUUAACAAUGGGAACAUUACACAACUGCUAUUGCUAUUCAAAACAAAUACAUCAAACAACUUAUACGCUACAUUGAAAACAAGUUAUAUAUGUGUAUAUGCAUAGAAUAGCUAAGUAUUCUGCACUAACAUUACUUAUAUAUUGUAAAUAUAUAUUAUAUAAUUAUUA